UGGGGAAUAUUGGACAAUGGGGGCAACCCUGAUCCAGCAAUGCCGCGUGUGUGAAGAAGGCCUUAGGGUUGUAAAGCACUUUAGGCUGGGAGGAAGACGUGAAGUUUAAGAGAUAUUACGUUUGACUGUACCGGCAGAAUAAGCACCGGCUAACUCUGUGCCAGCAGCCGCGGUAAUACAGAGGGUGCGAGCGUUAAUCGGAGUUACUGGGCGUAAAGGGCGCGUAGGCGGUUAUUUAAGUGAGAUGUGAAAUCCCUGGGCUUAACCUAGGAACUGCAUCUCAUACUGGAUAGCUAGAGUAUUGUAGAGGGUAGUGGAAUUUCCGGUGUAGCGGUGAAAUGCGUAGAGAUCGGAAGGAACACCAGUGGCGAAGGCGGCUACCUGGACAAAUACUGACGCUGAGGCGCGAAAGCGUGGGGAGCAAACAGGAUUAGAUACCCGUGUAGUCC
rnacentral:rRNA from 1 species